rnacentral:tRNA from 1 species
UCUUAAUUUAAAAGACAGUAGUUAAACUCUACUAUUAAGGA